rnacentral:rRNA from 1 species
UACAGAGGUCUCAAGCGUUGUUCGGAUUCAUUGGGCGUAAAGGGUGCGUAGGUGGCGCCGUAAGUCAGGUGUGAAAUCUCGGAGCUUAACUCCGAAACUGCAUUUGAUACUGCGGUGCUUGAGGACUGGAGAGGAGACUGGAAUUUACGGUGUAGCAGUGAAAUGCGUAGAUAUCAGGAGGAACACCGGUGGCGAAGGCGGCUACCUGGACAGAGUCUGACGCUGAGGCACGAAAGCUAGGGGAGCAAACAGG